UACGUAGGGUCCGAGCGUUGUCCGGAAUUACUGGGCGUAAAGAGCUCGUAGGUGGUUUGUCGCGUUGUUCGUGAAAACUCACAGCUUAAUUGUGGGCGUGCGGGCGAUACGGGCAGACUAGAGUACUGCAGGGGAGACUGGAAUUCCUGGUGUAGCGGUGGAAUGCGCAGAUAUCAGGAGGAACACCGGUGGCGAAGGCGGGUCUCUGGGCCGUAACUGACGCUGAGGAGCGAAAGCGUGGGGAGCGAACAGG
rnacentral:rRNA from 1 species